AUGCGUUGUUGGGUAGGGGAGCGUUCUGUAAGCCUGUGAAGGUGGCCUGUGAGGGUGGCUGGAGGUAUCAGAAGUGCGAAUGCUGACAUAAGUAACGAUAAAGCGGGUGAAAAGCCCGCUCGCCGGAAGACCAAGGGUUCCUGUCCAACGUUAAUCGGGGCAGGGUGAGUCGACCCCUAAGGCGAGGCCGAAAGGCGUAGUCGAUGGGAAACGGGUUAAUAUUCCCGUACUUGGUGUUACUGCGAAGGGGGGACGGAGAAGGCUAUGUUGGCCGGGCGACGGUUGUCCCGGUUUAAGCGUGUAGGUGUGUGUUCCAGGUAAAUCCGGUUCACUUUAACACUGAGGCGUGACGACGAGGCACUACGGUGCUGAAGCAACAAAUGCCCUGCUUCCAGGAAAAGCCUCUAAGCAUCAGGUAACAUCAAAUCGUACCCCAAACCGACACAGGUGGUCAGGUAGAGAAUACCAAGGCGCUUGAGAGAACUCGGGUGAAGGAACUAGGCAAAAUGGUGCCGUAA
rnacentral:rRNA from 1 species